rnacentral:tRNA from 1 species
GAUUUUAGCUCAGUGGUAUAAGCGCCUACUUGGCAAGUAUGAGGUCAUGAGUUGGAUCCUCAUGGAUCG